rnacentral:tRNA from 1 species
ACUUCUGUGGUGUAGUUGGUUAACGCAUCACGUUUAGAAAAUUGGUCGUGGGUUCAAAUUCCACCAGAGUUA